rnacentral:rRNA from 1 species
GAGUUUGAUCCUGGCUCAGAAUGAACGCUAGCGGCAGGCUUAACACAUGCAAGCUCGAGGGGUAACAGGAGAAAGCUUGCUUUUUCGCUGACGACCGGCGCACGGGUGAGUAACGCGUAUACAAUUUACCUUAUACAGGAGGAUAGCCUUUAGAAAUGAAGAUUAAUACUCCAUGGCAUUAUGAUAUGGCAUCAUAUUAUAAUUAAAGAUUUAUUGGUAUAAGAUGAGUAUGCGUCCUAUUAGUUAGUUGGUAAGGUAAUGGCUUACCAAGACUUCGAUAGGUAGGGGUCCUGAGAGGGAGACCCCCCACACUGGUACUGAGACACGGACCAGACUCCUACGGGAGGCAGCAGUGAGGAAUAUUGGACAAUGGAGGCAACUCUGAUCCAGCCAUGCCGCGUGCAGGAAGACGGCCCUAUGGGUUGUAAACUGCUUUUAUAUAGGAAGAAACCCAACCACGUGUGGUUGGCUGACGGUACUGUAUGAAUAAGCACCGGCUAACUCCGUGCCAGCAGCCGCGGUAAUACGGAGGGUGCAAGCGUUAUCCGGAAUCAUUGGGUUUAAAGGGUCCGUANGCGGGUAAUUAAGUCAGAGGUGAAAUCCCACAGCUUAACUGUGGAACUGCCUUAGAUACUGGUUAUCUUGAGUUUUAGUGAAGUAGAUAGAAUGUGUAGUGUAGCGGUGAAAUGCAUAGAUAUUACACGAAAUACCGAUUGC